CACGUAGGGCGCGAGCGUUGUCCGGAAUUAUUGGGCGUAAAGAGCUCGUAGGCGGCCUGUUGCGUCCGCUGUGAAAGCCCGGGGCUUAACCCCGGGUCUGCAGUGGAUACGGGCAGGCUAGAGGUAGGUAGGGGAGAAUGGAAUUCCCGGUGUAGCGGUGAAAUGCGCAGAUAUCGGGAGGAACACCGGUGGCAAAGGCGGUUCUCUGGGCCUUACCUGACGCUGAGGAGCGAAAGCGUGGGGAGCGAACAGG
rnacentral:rRNA from 1 species